UCUCUGCCGAAGCACCCGGCCGGCCGUAACACCCUUGUUGCUGUUGUCUCCUAAUUGUCCCUUUUAUUAAACUUUCCUUAAAAUUUUACAAAGAGUGAACCUCGUUUUUCACAAUGGUUAGUUGGCAGCCACAUGAGAUCAGGUUCUUGCCGUGAUUGAAAAUUGCAAGAAAAUAUUCAGAGUGCCUCCCUGGUCCAGGUGGAUGUAAUUCAAGACUCUGUAUGUGAAGGAGCGCUGGCUGGAGGUGCCUCAGGAAAUCUGCAGACCUGGUGUUGUGAGCCCACGUUUUGGAGACAUAUCCCAACAGAUGCCUCUGCAAGCUGUAUGGCCUGUCUGAGGUGUAAAUCAAGCACGUGGAAAAACACUGUGCAAUGAGUUAACCUUUGAAGAAUGAAUUUCCCAGCAAGCCUAAGUUCAUGACUGGAAAUCUGGCUUCCCAUGGCUGGGAUGGCCAGGCCUGGAGAGUGAUGGUGAAUGGAGUUGCAUCCAGUUGGUGGGUUGGUCACUAGUGGGAUUCCCCAGAGCUCAGUCCUGUUUCAGAUCUGUACUGAUGACCUGGACGAUGGCAUUGAGUACACCCUUGGUCGGUUUGCAGAUGACACCAAGCUGGCAUCACUGCUUUGGAAAUCUUCAGUGUCUCUUUUAUCACAGCACACAGGUAUCAAGUCACAGGAAAGUGUGCCUCAUUUGGAAAAAAUCAGCUCAACUUGACUAUGAUACAAAAUCCACAGAACUUUUUUUUUUUCUUGCUGAGUUAAUUUGUGGUGCUCUCGUGGUGUUCCUGUGGAUGGAAUUUUACUGUCAAGACUUCUGUCUAUUCAAAAAAGUUCUUCAAGAAGAGAAAUGUGGGAAGGAAAGGCACAUCAUUCUUGUGGGGAUGAGGAAGAGAGAGGAAGAUAGAAGUUCAGUACCUGCACGUUGUCAGGCAUACAUACCCAGAAAAAAUCACUCCAAUUAAGUUAUGUUGAUAAAAAAAUAGGCCAUAUAUAUUGAUGAAUAUUGUUUAAACUGUCUGUCAGAUUCAGGAGGAAAAUUAAAAAUAACUAUAGAGGAAAUACGUAGCAUUCUUUCAAGAUAAUGGGCUUUCCACCUCCUUUUCAAAAAAGCGAUGGGAGCUCCAGAAAGCUUUACAAAUACAUCAUCCAUCAUUUUGCUGUUUUCUAGAAAUUGCAGCGCUAACAGAAUUCUGUGAAAUUCGUUUACAAAUACAUGGGUAGCAAUACUAUUAAAAUGUCUUUUAGUUUUAGUUGAAUUUUCAAGAAGUGAUGCAGGUUAAAUUCUGUAUGAAAUAAAGAAUAGGUUUAAAAACUCAACAAGAAGUUUGUAUUAACCAGUAUGACUGGAAGUACACUAAUGUCCAAAUUCUUCAGAAACAGCUAUGGCAAUUUAUGGAUUAAACAGCUUUAAAAGUCAUUCCUAUUCCUAUUUGUACUUUCUUUUUUCCUAGACUGUAGUACUGUGCUACUUCAUCUACAUACAAAAUGAAAUUAAGAUGGUGAAAUAAGUUCUGCCAUGACUUAAAAUGAAUGUAGGCACUCUAGGAAUGUUACCUUACAAUGUAGCAUUGAAAAGAAAAAUCAUACAGUUAUAAUUCAGUCAUGCUUGUGCAUAAGGAUAAAUGUAUAGUGUCGAGAUAGAACUGUUUUAUGGAAAACAAAGCCAGUUAUCUGGGUCAUUCCAGGAACUUUCGACUAAUGAGUCAUUUCACGCAGAUCUCAUAUAGGUUUGUUUGAUAGUUUUCAAAAUGCUGUAAAGGCAGCCUUUAAGCAUAGAGGAAAAUAUAUUGUGGAUUAUAAUUUCAGUCAUUCAACUAAACUGUUUAGGAGAAAAUCAAUUGUAAAAAUUUAGUUACAAUGGCAUUGCUACUUUAAAAGGAUUUGUGAUGAAAUAUUUGUUUC